AUUGAACGCUGGCGGCAGGCCUAACACAUGCAAGUCGAGCGGAGCGGCGGACGGGUGGGUAAUGAAUAGGAAUCUGCCUGGUAGUGAGGGAUAGCGUCCGGAAGCGGGCGCUGAUACCGCAUACUAUCAGAUGAGCCUAGGUCGGAGUAGCUAGUUGGUGGGGUAAAGGCCUACCAAGGCGACGAUCCGUAACUGGUCUGAGAGGCGGAUCAGUCACACUGGAACUGAGACACGGUCCAGACUCCGACGGGAGGCAGCAGUGGGGAAUAUUGGACAAUGGGCGAAAGCCUGAUCCAGCCAUGCCGCGUGGGUGAAGAAGGUCUUCGGAUUGUAAAGCACUUUAAGUUGGGAGGCGUUACCAACAGAAUAAGCACCGGCUAACUUCGUGCCAGCAGCCGCGGUAAUAC
rnacentral:rRNA from 1 species